rnacentral:snoRNA from 1 species
AAGAUUAACCCUUCAGGAUCAUUUCUACAGUUUGUUACUAGAGAAUUUUCUGCAAAUGUGUAGUGCAUUGGAAAUCACAAGAAGGCAUCGGAGUGCUCUUUUCUGAUCUUCUCAGCAUGAAAUUGGCCCUUACUAUUGCUUUGGCACUACCAUUUGCUGUCGAUGAUCAUUCUUCCCUUUUUGGAAAGUAAGAGGGAAAGAAUGUGAC